CCUACGGGUGGCAGCAGUGAGGAAUAUUGGUCAAUGGACGCAAGUCUGAACCAGCCAUGCCGCGUGCAGGAAGACGGCCCUAUGAGUUGUAAACUUCUUUUGUAUGGGGGUAAAUCCCGAUAUGUGUAUCCGCUUGUAUGUACCGUACGAAUAGGGAUCGGCUAACUCCGUGCCAGCAGCCGCGGUAAUACGGAGGAUCCGAGCGUUAUCCGGAUUUAUUGGGUUUAAAGGGUGCGUAGGCGGUUCGAUAAGUUAGUUGUGAAAUCCUGGGGCUCAACUCCGGCACUGCAUCUGAUACUGGCGGGCUAGAGUUUAGUUGAGGUAGGCGGAAUGUCUGGUGUAGCGGUGAAAUGCAUAGAGAUCACAAAGAACACCGAUUGCGAAGGCAGCUCACUAGUCUACGACUGACGUUGAGGCACGAAAGCGUGGGUAGCAAACAGGAUUAGAUACCCCGGUAGUC
rnacentral:rRNA from 1 species